CUCAUGAAAUGUGCCAAACCAGGAGUUGUCAUCAACGGUGUCCAACACCACAGAUUUGUGCCAGGAAUGCCCAUCAGACAAUUUCGCCUUCGACACUCAUGUGAGUAGGACAACUAAUGUGAAUGAAAUCAGACAAAGAUUAUUUUGUAAACCAGAAAUUGAUAAAAGAAGCCAAAUUGUUGACUUCGACUCUGCCAGAAGACUUGUGCAGAACGAGCAAUGUGCUGCCUGGCAUUUGAAGAGCCAACCUGUGUCGCGUCGGUGCAUACCGAACCCUGUGAAUCGUACCGAACUGCACAUCGAAGGAUUCUCGCCGGAUUCACUGAGGAAGGCAUUGCGAAACGUCAAGCGAAUGGCAAGGGCGAACGAGG